GAUGAAGGUCUUAGGAUUGUAAAAUUCUUUCACCGGGGACGAUAAUGACGGUACCCGGAGAAGAAGCCCCGGCUAACUUCGUGCCAGCAGCCGCGGUAAUACGAAGGGGGCUAGCGUUGCUCGGAAUUACUGGGCGUAAAGGGAGCGUAGGCGGAUAGUUUAGUCAGAGGUGAAAGCCCAGGGCUCAACCUUGGAAUUGCCUUUGAUACUGGCUAUCUUGAGUAUGGAAGAGGUAUGUGGAACUCCGAGUGUAGAGGUGAAAUUCGUAGAUAUUCGGAAGAACACCAGUGGCGAAGGCGACAUACUGGUCCAUUACUGACGCUGAGGCUCGAAAGCGUGGGGAGCAAACAGGAUUAGAUACCCUGGUAGUCC
rnacentral:rRNA from 1 species